rnacentral:rRNA from 1 species
UACGUAGGGUGCAAGCGUUGUCCGGAAUUAUUGGGCGUAAAGAGCUCGUAGGCGGCUUGUCGCGUCGUCUGUGAAAUCCCGUGGCUCAACUGCGGGCUGGCAGUCGAUACGGGCAGGCUGGAGUUCGGUAGGGGAGACUGGAAUUCCUGGUGUAGCGGUGAAAUGCGCAGAUAUCAGGAGGAACACCGGUGGCGAAGGCGGGUCUCUGGGCCGAUACUGACGCUGAGGAGCGAAAGCGUGGGGAGCGAACAGG